GGCGAUGUAGCUCAGUUGGUCUAGAGCGGGCGUUUCAUACGCGCUAGGUCGGUGGUUCAAAUCCACCCAUCGCCACCC
rnacentral:tRNA from 1 species